UUAGGUAACUGCAGUUUGAGGCAUUUUGAGAAUGAAAUAGCAAAGGACCAGAAGUUUAAAAUGGAAGAGAGGAAGGAUCUUCUUGACAGCAUCAUGCUUUACCACAGAGGUAAAAUGCUAAAGGAUCACCCCUGUGUUAGUCACCAACAUCACUGACCAUGUAGUUAUUUCAGUAGCAUCCAACAUUCUGUCAUCAGAAGCAACUUCACAGGACAGCAAACACUGAAGUGUGAGAAAAAAGCAAGUCCAGAACAUGUAUCUAUAACUGUAAUUCUAUAGGAUGUGGGUAAAUUGGUAAAGAAAACAUUUUUCUUUUCAUGAAUGAUACUCAAAUUAACUAAAGCUAUUUCAUGCUUGGUUUAAAUGUGUAAGUGGCAUCCAUUCCAUACAACUGGAAUCUUUCUUUUGGGCUUUGCAGUCCUAGCCUGUUUGCAGAGCAACAGGUAUCUAGCAAAACACAGUCAGAAGGACAGAAGACGACUAUAAAAAUAGAGCCUUGUUAAUUUUGUUUCCUCACUUGAAAAUAUAAUUAAUAGUCAAAUCUGAGAAACAGCUACUAGAAAAUUUAUCACUCUGUAGCAAUAAAAGAUAAUCUUCUGUAAAGAAAAGUUGCAGACUGCAUGUCUUGAACAUCUUGUAGACAGCAAACUGAAGACAUUGUUUGAUCUGCAGGCUGGAAUACUAUCUGUCUUUGCUGCAGCUGCUUCUACACAAAGAAAAGAAUAGCAGGUGAACUGUAAAAGUGAAAGCUUUGGUCUAGGAAAAUAAGCUGUAUACUCAAGUGAGUACUAUCCCGGAGUGCUUUGAAUUCUUCACAUCCUCAAAUCAUUCAUAUUGAUUCUAUGACUAAAUAAAGGAAUGGAAAUAUGAUUCUCUCUCUCUUUCUCUCUCCCUCUCUCUCUUUUAAUAAAUUCUCUCUGUUUUCAGUAUAAGUAAAUAUUUGCGCUCAUGGUUUAGGGAUUGGUUGCACUGACAGCUGAAAGCCUCUAUUGAUUUGCAACUCUGGCUUGGUAAAGGAGCCUCUUGCUAAUCUUUCCCACAGUGCCCUUCCAAUACUUUCUCUGCUAACCUGGAAGGACAGCUCUCUCUAGGGCAAGAGGUAAUUAAACUCUCAUGGUGGCUCCUUUCAGAAGAGAUGGCUUAUUUUGUAUUCUCUGCUUAAGAUUUACUGUUGUAGAUACUGAAUAAGAUGAGACUGUUGUACAGCACAGGCAGACUCCACAAAUUUGAUUUGAUGGAAGGCUACUCAGGAGAGAAAGUCUGCCUUUCUGGGACUCCUCAGAGUUUAAAGGCAGCAACAUAAAGCACUUCCAAAUCAGAUCCAUCCUAUUUCCACACACAAAACCUUUUCAACCAGCAAGUGACAAUCUUCCUAUGAAACUUCAUUCUGUCUGGAAAACUACCAGCUGUCUGGGGUGAAGACACACCAGGGCCUUGCAGAGCAGCUUUUCAGAUCUCCCCUCUAGUCUGAAAACAUAGGGAAAAAUAAGCAAAUGUUUUAAAAUGGAUGCUACCACAUUCUUUUCAUAUUCUUCUACCACAGAACAGUCAUAGAGGCCACUACAUAGCUUCAACACCAUGGCAAUAUCCACUGGCUGCUUUCUGAGCCUUAUGAACUUGCAAUAAAAUGUAAGAGAA